UACGUAGGUCCCGAGCGUUGUCCGGAUUUAUUGGGCGUAAAGCGAGCGCAGGUGGUUUAAUAAGUCUGAUGUAAAAGGCAGUGGCUCAACCAUUGUGUGCAUUGGAAACUGUUAGACUUGAGUGCAGUAGAGGAGAGUGGAAUUCCAUGUGUAGCGGUGAAAUGCGUAGAUAUAUGGAGGAACACCGGUGGCGAAAGCGGCUCUCUGGACGGUUACUGACGCUCAUGCACGAAAGCGUGGGGAGCAAACAGG
rnacentral:rRNA from 1 species